rnacentral:snRNA from 1 species
CUUGCUGAUUUCAUUACAUGAC